rnacentral:lncRNA from 1 species
CUUACUAGUAGUAGUAGUAGUAGUAGUAGUAGUAGUAGUAGUAGUAGUAGUAGUAGUAGUAGUAGUAGUAGUAGUAGUAGUAGUAGUAGUAGUAGUAGUAGUAGUAGUAGUAGUAGUAGUAGUAGUAGUAGUAGUAGUAGUAGUAGUAGUAGUAGUAGUAGUAGUAGUAGUAGUAGUAGUAGUAGUAGUAGUAGUAGUAGUAGUAGUAGUAGUAGUAGUAGUAGUAGUAGUAGUAGUAGUAGUAGUAGUAGUAGUAGUAGUAGUAGUAGUAGUAGUAGUAGUAGUAGUAGUAGUAGUAGUAGUAGUAGUAGUAGUAGUAGUAGUAGUAGUAGUAGUAGUAGUAGUAGUAGUAGUAGUAGUAGUAGUAGUAGUAGUAGUAGUAGUAGUAGUAGUAGUAGUAGUAGUAGUAGUAGUAGUAGUAGUAGUAGUAGUAGUAGUAGUAGUAGUAGUAGUAGUAGUAGUAGUAGUAGUAGUAGUAGUAGUAGUAGUAGUAGUAGUAGUAGUAGUAGUAGUAGUAGUAGUAGUAGUAGUAGUAGUAGUAGUAGUAGUAGUAGUAGUAGUAGUAGUAGUAGUAGUAGUAGUAGUAGUAGUAGUAGUAGUAGUAGUAGUAGUAGUAGUAGUAGUAGUAGUAGUAGUAGUAGUAGUAGUAGUAGUAGUAGUAGUAGUAGUAGUAGUAGUAGUAGUAGUAGUAGUAGUAGUAGUAGUAGUAGUAGUAGUAGUAGUAGUAGUAGUAGUAGUAGUAGUAGUAGUAGUAGUAGUAGUAGUAGUAGUAGUAGUAGUAGUAGUAGUAGUAGUAGUAGUAGUAGUAGUAGUAGUAGUAGUAGUAGUAGUAGUAGUAGUAGUAGUAGUAGUAGUAGUAGUAGUAGUAGUAGUAGUAGUAGUAGUAGUAGUAGUAGUAGUAGUAGUAGUAGUAGUAGUAGUAGUAGUAGUAGUAGUAGUAGUAGUAGUAGUAGUAGUAGUAGUAGUAGUAGUAGUAGUAGUAGUAGUAGUAGUAGUAGUAGUAGUAGUAGUAGUAGUAGUAGUAGUAGUAGUAGUAGUAGUAGUAGUAGUAGUAGUAGUAGUAGUAGUAGUAGUAGUAGUAGUAGUAGUAGUAGUAGUAGUAGUAGUAGUAGUAGUAGUAGUAGUAGUAGUAGUAGUAGUAGUAGUAGUAGUAGUAGUAGUAGUAGUAGUAGUAGUAGUAGUAGUAGUAGUAGUAGUAGUAGUAGUAGUAGUAGUAGUAGUAGUAGUAGUAGUAGUAGUAGUAGUAGUAGUAG